rnacentral:rRNA from 1 species
UACGGAGGAUCCAAGCGUUAUCCGGAUUUAUUGGGUUUAAAGGGUGCGUAGGUGGCCUGUUAAGUCAGGGGUGAAAGCCUCCAGCUUAACUGGAGAAGUGCCUCUGAUACUGGUCGUCUUGAGGGAGGUAGGGGCAUGUGGAACUUCCGGUGGAGCGGUGAAAUGCGUAGAUAUCGGAAGGAACGCCGGUGGCGAAAGCGACGUGCUGGACCUCUGCUGACGCUGAGGCGCGAAAGCUAGGGGAGCGAACGGG